CAAUCAAACUCAUUAUGUUAUCGUCAUCAAUAGUUAAUAGGCCCCUAUAGUAUGUGACAGGUGAGGUUUGUGAAUACCUGUUCAGCAGCCACGGCCCUGACAGAAGAGGGAGUUGUCAAAGGAGGCGGGGCCGCAAACACCAUUUAAAUGAACUGAGUCGGGAGUGCACUAACUCUGGAUUUAACACGGCAGAGGCAGAAACAUCAUUACAUCGGGAAACUACAAGUCCUUUUCUCACAUAAAGGUGUCCAGCAACAAAACCAAAGUUUGAGUCAUGUGUGGGAUCUUUGCCUACCUGAAUUACCAAGUGCCUCGCACCAGAAAGGAGAUAUUUGAGACGCUGGUGAAGGGACUGCAGAGACUGGAGUACAGAGGGUACGAUUCAGCAGGUGUUGCUGUGGAUGGCCCAAACCAAAACACCAUCUGCUUGAUCAAGAAGACGGGGAAGGUGAAGGCCCUGGAUGAAGAGCUUUGCAAGAAAGACUUACUUGACCUGGAUGAGAAGCUGUUCACACACUUUGGCAUCGCUCACACUCGCUGGGCCACACACGGAGAGCCGAGCGAGGUUAACAGCCACCCUCAUCGUUCUGACAAGGAAAACGAGUUUGUCGUCAUCCACAACGGCAUCAUCACCAACUACAAAGAGCUGAAGGCCUACCUGAUCAACAAAGGAUAUGAGUUUGAGUCGGAGACGGACACAGAGGUGAUCCCGAAAUUGAUCAAAUAUGUUUACGACAACAGAGAGAAUGAGGACAUCGGGUUCUCCACCCUUGUAGAGAGGGUCAUUCAGCAGCUGGAGGGGGCCUUCGCUCUGGUGUUUAAAAGCCGUCAUUUCCCCAGAGAGGCAGUUUGCACCAGGAGAGGAAGUCCGUUACUCAUUGGUGUGCGAAGCGAGUAUGAGCUGUCAACUGAAGACAUCCCCAUCCAGUACAACAAUGCUCUCUUCAAGGAGGGAGUCCAGGAGAAGAACAGCCAUAAUCGUGCUGACUGCUCCAGCGACAUCGACUCAGUGGGAGAUGGCCGAGCUGUGGAGUAUUACUUUGCCUCUGACGCCAGUGCCAUCAUUGAGCACACCAACAAGGUGUUGUACCUGGAGGAUGAUGACAUGGCGGUGGUCUCCGAGGGGAAACUCUCCAUCCAUAGGUUGAAACGGAAGGUCAAUGAGAAUCCAGUGAGGGCAAUCCAGACCCUGCAAAUGGAGCUGCAACAGAUCAUGAAAGGUAACUUUGAUGCCUUCAUGCAGAAGGAGAUCUUUGAGCAGCCAGAGUCAGUCUUCAACACAAUGAGAGGACGGAUUUGUUUCGACACCAACACAGUGAUCCUCGGUGGGCUGAAGGAUCACCUGAAAGAAAUAAAACGCUGCAGGCGGCUCAUUGUGAUUGGCUGCGGCACUAGCUUCCACGCUGCUGUGGCUACAAGACAGAUCCUGGAGGAGCUGACGGAGCUGUCUGUCAUGGUGGAGCUGGCAAGCGACUUCCUGGACCGCAACACGCCAGUCUUUAGAGACGACGUUUGCUUCUUCAUCAGCCAGUCAGGAGAAACAGCAGACACCCUGAUGGCACUUCGAUACUGCAAGGGUCAAGGUGGUCUGACAGUCGGUGUAACCAACACUGUGGGCAGCUCCAUUUGUAGAGAAACAGACUGUGGAGUCCACAUCAAUGCUGGGCCGGAGAUAGGAGUGGCUAGCACCAAGGCCUACACCAGUCAGUUUGUGGCCCUCGUCAUGUUUGGUCUGAUGAUGAGCGAGGACAGGCUCUCCCUCCAGCAACGAAGACUGGACAUCAUCAACGGCCUCAAGAUGCUACCCGACCUGAUAAAGCAGGUGUUGGCUCUGGAUAAAAAGAUCAAGGCCAUCGCUGACGAACUGUAUCAGCAGAAGUCUCUUCUGGUCAUGGGCCGAGGUUACCACUACGCCACCUGCCUCGAAGGGGCACUGAAAAUCAAGGAGAUCACCUACAUGCACUCGGAGGGCAUCCUGGCCGGGGAGCUGAAGCACGGCCCUCUGGCACUUAUCGACAAAGACAUGCCGGUCAUCAUGAUCAUAAUGAAAGACUCCUGCUACACAAAGUGCCAGAACGCUCUGGAACAAGUCACUGCCAGAUCGGGUCGGCCCAUCAUCCUUUGCUGCAAGGACGACACUGAUAUUUGUAAGAAUGCCUACCACACCCUCGAGUUGCCUCAAACUGUGGACUGUCUGCAGGGCAUCCUCACCGUCAUACCCCUGCAGCUCCUGUCCUUCCACCUGGCCGUGCUGCGAGGAUAUGACGUUGACUUUCCCCGAAACUUGGCCAAAUCUGUGACUGUGGAAUAAUUACAGUUCACAAAGCACAGGAGAGCGCAAAGGAGGCUCAUCGAUAUACAGUGCAGUUGUGCAGUGUGUGUGUGUGUGUGUGUGUGUGUGUGUGUGUGUGUGUGUGUGUGUGUGUGUGUGUGUGUGUGUGUGUGUGUGUUGUGUGUGUGUGUGUGUGUGUGUGUGUUGUGGUGUGUGUGUGUGGAAUACAAUGAUUUUUAAAAGAAGAGUAAUGGAAGUCAGACCAAGACACUGACUGAGGAUUGCACUAGUGCCAUUGAUUGUCUUCACAGAACAAUCUAUGAACACACCAUUCACACCACCACAAAGCAACCAUCCUAUGCUGUGCCUUUUUGUUAUCUCGAGAUGAGCCUAAACACUUCCUGAAAAAUCAAUAAUAUGGUAUAUUGAAGUGUUUCCAGUUGUGACAAUAUGAGGACCAAAUGUGCAUUAUGCUAUGAACACAAUCAUGCUUGACGUGGUUUAUUCUCUUUUUGUUUAAGAAUUUCUAAUGUCUAUCGGUGUGACUUACCUCUCUUUAUGUAAUGGGAAAUGAAGUAUUAAACAUUUUUAUUCCAGUGAGUUUUUUAAAUUAUAAAAAUCUGUUUUUUCAUAUAUAAAUAAAUAUUUUACUGCACAUUUAUGCCAAAACUGUGCCUUUGAGCCAUUAUCCCAUAAUUGCAAUAUUGUUAACAGAUACUACUAGAAGAAAAUUCCAUAUCAAUCUGACUUUCACAUUAUACUUGAUUAUUUUAUUAUGUUUCUGCCCCAUUUUGUUUGUUAUUAUAUUUUAAAUAUAUAUAUUGUAUGUUCGUUUAUUCAGUGUAAAAGGAUUGCCAGUUCCAAAGUCAGUUCAAGGUACAACAUUAACCUUUUUUCAUGACUCAUCUUUCAUUUUCAUCGGUUGGAACAUCUCUGUAGACAAACCUGAACAUAAUUUAAACUUUCAUCAGCAAAUAAAUUAUACCUUGACCUUUAAUAAUACUUUUGUUUGAAUGGGCUUAUAAUUAUUGUAAUAUUCUGUAUUUAUCUGAUUUAUAUUUUAUAUGGGCUUAAGAAAGUGUUUGAUUAAUAUCUUUCACUGUAAUUGUAUUUUCUAUGGUAUGUUUUAAAGAGAAAAGCAGGCAUUUCAUAAAAAGGUAAAGGAUUAUUUUCAAAGUCU